UUGACGCCUCUUCCCUGUCUGUCCCAGGCGGCUCACGGCUGGGGAGGUUCACUCCUAACACAAAGCAUCACUCAGCUAGUUUACCUAGGGAGCAGCAGAGCUGUGGGAAUGCAGCCCAAGGGCGCCUUGCAGGCUUUGUGUAUCUUCAUUGUGGGCCAGGAGCGCAAGGGUACAGAAACAGAAGAAACCCACCCUACCGGAGAAACUACCUUCAUCUGCUCGUUAAGCAGGCAAAUGCUGUCCCAAAGGGUGCUUGUUAGAGGUGUGAAACGUCAGGCAAGGGACAGCGCUUUGCGAGGUGAAAUGAACGCGAGAGUUCCCCAGAAUGAGCCGGCACGGUUGGCGCACACCGCCUCUCCCAGGCCUCCAGAGGGCGAGGCAGUAGGAUUGCAAGGUUCUGCCCAGCCCGAGCAAUUAACAAGACUCUUAGAAAAAGGACUGCGCACGUAGCUCUGUCGAAUGCCUUGGGUUUAGUCCCUAGUGCCUGUCUGUCUGUCUCUCUCACACACAGCUUUACCACUAUAGAUCUCCUAGAUGUAUAAAGUAACAAAUUCUGUUUAAAUAACUGAAGAAGCAGAGGUGGAAAGGAACUAGCAAACCAGGUGUUAAAAACUUGUUGACUUUCUCGUAGGUGGAAAAAUGUAAUUACACAGUGGUCUUAUGUUUUUGUAAUCAACAAAACCAAAAGAAAUACACGGUUGUGGGGAGGCCAGUAUGUAAAAUUUUAGUGUUCAAACCAACACACCUAGUCACAAGUGCUUCAGGUAGGAAUGGGGAAAACGUGUGUGUGGAAAUCGUUACCUUGCCCGGGAGGGAAACCACAUUUUAAGGUGGAUAAUGAUAUAUCCAACUAAUGUUUCCCUCCUGGCUUAAUUUUUCUUUGGGAAAGUUACAGAAAAAUCCGAAAGUUUCUGGGUGUAGAUACCACACAGUUGUAAGAAUAACUUCUCUUUAGAGACGCUGGCAAAGGAGACCAGUCCACACGGGAAGGGGUAAACCGAUGCGAUGACUCUCAUUAAAAAACAAACUCAAGCG
rnacentral:lncRNA from 1 species